AGAGUUUGAUCCUGGCUCAGGACGAACGCUGGCGGCGCGCCUAACACAUGCAAGUCGAACGAGCGAGAGAGAGCUUGCUUUCUCGAGCGAGUGGCGAACGGGUGAGUAACGCGUGAGGAACCUGCCUCAAAGAGGGGGACAACAGUUGGAAACGACUGCUAAUACCGCAUAAGCCCACGACCCGGCAUCGGGUAGAGGGAAAAGGAGCAAUCCGCUUUGAGAUGGCCUCGCGUCCGAUUAGCUAGUUGGUGAGGUAACGGCCCACCAAGGCGACGAUCGGUAGCCGGACUGAGAGGUUGAACGGCCACAUUGGGACUGAGACACGGCCCAGACUCCUACGGGAGGCAGCAGUGGGGAAUAUUGCACAAUGGGGGAAACCCUGAUGCAGCGACGCCGCGUGGAGGAAGAAGGUCUUCGGAUUGUAAACUCCUGUUGUUGAGGAAGAUAAUGACGGUACUCAACAAGGAAGUGACGGCUAACUACGUGCCAGCAGCCGCGGUAAAACGUAGGUCACAAGCGUUGUCCGGAAUUACUGGGUGUAAAGGGAGCGCAGGCGGGAAGACAAGUUGGAAGUGAAAUCCAUGGGCUCAACCCAUGAACUGCUUUCAAAACUGUUUUUCUUGAGUAGUGCAGAGGUAGGCGGAAUUCCCGGUGUAGCGGUGGAAUGCGUAGAUAUCGGGAGGAACACCAGUGGCGAAGGCGGCCUACUGGGCACCAACUGACGCUGAGGCUCGAAAGUGUGGGUAGCAAACAGGAUUAGAUACCCUGGUAGUCCACACCGUAAACGAUGAUUACUAGGUGUUGGAGGAUUGACCCCUUCAGUGCCGCAGUUAACACAAUAAGUAAUCCACCUGGGGAGUACGACCGCAAGGUUGAAACUCAAAGGAAUUGACGGGGGCCCGCACAAGCAGUGGAGUAUGUGGUUUAAUUCGACGCAACGCGAAGAACCUUACCAAGUCUUGACAUCCUGCGACGCACAUAGAAAUAUGUGUUUCCUUCGGGACGCAGAGACAGGUGGUGCAUGGUUGUCGUCAGCUCGUGUCGUGAGAUGUUGGGUUAAGUCC
rnacentral:rRNA from 1 species